rnacentral:rRNA from 1 species
AGCAGCCGCGGUAAUUCCAGCUCCAAUAGCGUAUAUUAAAGUUGUUGCAGUUAAAAAGCUCGUAGUUGAAUUUCGGGGUCAGCAGGUUGGUCGUGCCUCUGGUACGCACUGGUUUCGCUGAUUCCUUCUUUCUGAAGAACUGUAAUGUCAUUAAUUUGGUGUUGCAGGGAAACAGGACUGUUACUUUGAAAAAAUUAGAGUGUUUAAAGCAAGCUAACGCUUGAAUACAUUAGCAUGGAAUAAUGAAAUAGGACGUUUGAUCCUAUUUUGUUGGUUUCUAGGAUUGACGUAAUGAUUAAUAGGGAUAGUUGGGGGCAUUAGUAUUCAAUUGUCAGAGGUGAAAUUCUUGGAUUUAUUGAAGACUAACUACUGCGAAAGCAUUCGCCAAGGAUGUUUUCAUUAAUCAAGAACGAAAGUUAGGGGAUCGAAGACGAUCAGAUACCGUCGUAGUCUUAACCAUAAACUAUGCCGACUAGGGAUCGGAUGAUGUUAAUUUUUUAAUGACUCA